AGACCGCCGGCUAAGGCCCCAGAGUGCGUGUUAAGUGGAAAAGGAUGUGGGGAUUCAAAGACAGCCAGGACGUUGGCCCAGAAGCAGCCACACGUUCAAAGAGUGCGUAACAGCUCACUGGCCGAGAGUCCCUGCGCCGAAAAUGUCCGGGGCUAAAACACGCCGCCGAAGCCGCGGGAUGCAGCAAUGCAUC
rnacentral:ncRNA from 1 species